rnacentral:lncRNA from 1 species
CUAACAGUGUAACAAUGUAUUUAAGCAUCACGUCUCAUAGUGGACAGGGAUUGCUUUUAUGUCUAGGGGUCAGAGGAACAUGUUAGAGUGAAGCCAAGUUUUAAAAGGAAGGUUCAAAUAUGCACUAGGUUUUGCCCAGGAUCCAGGAGGAAGCAUUGUGUAUAAAGAAGAAGCUCUGUUUGGAUGGACACGUGGGGGUGAUCUGGGACAUAGAAACCUGGAAAAGCUGAUGAAAGCUGAUUUUCCCUUGAAGAAGACAUUUGGAAUGAAGCAAUGUGACCUUUAAUCACCCUCAGACCUCUUUUUGUUCUUGUUCCAGGACAUUCUGUAAAAGGUUUUGCUUCACUUGGAUAGGAACCAAGCCAGCCACAUGGAAAGAAAAAUAACUUGAGUAUCUCCACCACCGAACUUAGGAAUUUGACCAGAAAGUAGACAAAAAAGUGGAAAAUGCCCUCUGGAGAAAUUGUCACACAAGAAGUAUAACAGAACCUCUGGUUCCAAAGUAUGACUUCUUGUACCUCAUUGGAAAAGGACUCCUAAACUCUAUGUGUACCCAUUUCAUGAUAAGAUUUCAUAGCAGUUCUGAAGCUGAUUAUUAUAAUAAUUAGCCAUUUAUCUUUGUUCAUUAUUCAUAGGUUUGCUAUUUUGCUGAAGUUCAAGAUUUGGUCAUAAUAUAGCAAUUGGUAAAAUGUAUAAAAAGUUUGACUAAAUGUGUUGGACAUGGAGCAGCAGCAGGAAUUAUAAUGUUGGCCACACCUUCCCCCCAAAAAAAAUUUUAUGAAGAACUGAAAGAAGUGAUUUUUAGUCUCUCUUGCAUUAAAUAUGGGGUGGUGCAUUCUUUGAGUCUUUUUCCUGAUGCUGAGGGAGUCUAACCUAUAGUCCUAAUUUUGUCAGUUAUUCAUACCUUUAACAAUCAGACAAAUCUUUCCUCUUUGCUGAGACAUCAAACAAUAUCAACAUAUUCUUAAAAAUUAUCAACAUUGUGAGCAAAGUAGAGCUUCUACUUCUCUCCAGAAACAUCUGUGACACAAUUCGUGGAAAAUCAACAGCUUUGUUAGCACACAGCUUUGUUAGCACACACAAAAUUACAUAGCAUCUCCAUCACCUUUAAAGAAACCUCCCUGAUAUAAUUCUGUUAGGUCCCUAAGUCACAUUUUCUCCUUUCUAAGGUAUAUAUGAGGAGAUAUAAAAAAAGAUUUUUGUACUUUGAUUCAGAUAUUGUUGUGAGAUUACAAAUAUAAUAUGAAUGCCAUUGAAGGCUGGUUCUUUCUAAUGCUGGCCAUAUUGCUAACCUAUGAGUGACCACUGGAGGGGUUAAUUAAUGGCCACAGUUUUAAAGAUCACAUUUAUGUGAUUUAAUCACCUUUAAAUGCCUGCAGAACAAUUAAGAGAUCUGUCCAGUCUCUUGAGGUGCUUCACAUAAUAAAACAUUAUGACAGGCUUAGGGAUAUUGGAUUUUAUAGUGUCUUUAUACAAAAUAUACCACAUUGGUCAUCUCUAACUGAUAAAGCUUCAAUUAGUCAGGUUAUUUAAAUGUGAAAUGGUGGCCUAAUGGAGCUUUACACCUGAUAAUAGCCAGGCAAAAGAGAACAUAUGAAUAACAAGAUGUUUGCUCCACAGACAGAUGAUGGACAAGUCCAUAUCUUUAGUUUUUUUGAAAAAAAUUUAGUAAAGUGGUAGAAACACUUUAUUUGGCCUUAUUUUCUUUCUUUAGCAUUAUUACUUUACUUGGCUAAGGCAAACAUUCUGAAGACUAGUUUGUAAAGUGAAAUCAACAUGGUCAAAAUUCAAAAUUACCUCAAAUUGAUUAGUUUAGUUCAAACAUCUAUGCAGCAUAAUAUUAAUAUAUUAAACUAGCAUUAGAAAUUAAUUCAUUAUAUGUUCAAGAGGCUAUGACAAAACCACCAUCUUCAUGUAAUGGUAGUAAGGUCGUAAAACUUUUGGAAGGUGAUUUGGAAAUGUGUACCUCCAACCAACUAAUUCCGCUGCUGGGAUAUUACAUUAAGAAAAUAAUCCAAAAUAUAGGGGAAAGAACUGUAUCUACUAAUGUACGCAUAGCAACAUUAUUUAUACUAGUAACAACUGGAAAUAAAUUGAAUCCAAAAACAAGUUAGUUUAUAUUAUGGCAAGUCACAUAGCUUUCAAGUCAUAAUUAUGAUGUCUAUUUGUCAGCAUGAAAAAUGCUUUUCUCAUAAUGUUAAGUGAAAAAGUUACAGAAAACUAUAUACAUACUGCUGUUACAAAUAUUAUUACUAAAAUAUUUAUUGUUUAUUAUUUAUACAGAUGUUUGCUUAGGAAAGAUUUGAAGAUUUUUAAAAGUUCAUAUACAAGAAAAUAAACUUGAAG